CCUACGGGGUGCUGCAGUGAGGAAUAUUGGUCAAUGGACGAGAGUCUGAACCAGCCAAGUAGCGUGAAGGAUGACUGCCCUAUGGGUUGUAAACUUCUUUUAUAUGGGAAUAAAAUGUUACACGUGUGGGAUUUUGUAUGUACCAUAUGAAUAAGGAUCGGCUAACUCCGUGCCAGCAGCCGCGGUAAUACGGAGGAUCCGAGCGUUAUCCGGAUUUAUUGGGUUUAAAGGGAGCGUAGGUGGAUUGUUAAGUCAGUUGUGAAAGUUUGCGGCUCAACCGGAAAAUUGCAGUUGAAACUAGCAGUCUUGAGUACAGUAGAGGUGGGCGGAAUUCGUGGUGUAGCGGUGAAAUGCUUAGAUAUCACGAAGAACUCCGAUUGCGAAGGCAGUUCACUGGACUGCAACUGACACUGAGGCUCGAAAGUGUGGGUAUCAAACAGGAUUAGAUACCCGGGUAGUC
rnacentral:rRNA from 1 species